AACCUUUACAAUGCGCGAAAGCGUGAUAAGGGGACUUCAAGUGACUCUGCGAGAGCGGAGUCUUUUCUCGAGUCUAGAAAGCUCAAGGAAUAAGGACUGGGAAAGACUCGUGCCAGCCGCCGCGGUAACACGAGCAGUCCAAGUGGUACCCAUUUACAUUGGGCUUAGAGCGCUCGUAGCCGGCUAAGUAAGUUCUUAAUGAAAUUCCAAGGCUCAACCUUGGGGAGCGUUAAGAAAACUGCUUAGCUUGGGGACGGAAGAGGCCACGGGUACUCCUGGGGUAGCGGUAAAAUGCUAUAAUCCUAGGAGGACCAGCGGUAGCGAAAGCGCGUGGCCAGAACGUGCCCGACGGUGAGGGGCGAAGGCCAGGGGCGCAACUCGGAUUAGAUACCCGAUUAGUCCUGGCUGUAAAUUAUGCGAAUUAGGUACAUCAGAGCCCAAGAGGCGCUGAGGUGCCGUAGGAAAACCGUUAAAUUCGCCGCCUGGGGAGUACGGUCGCAAGGUCGAAACUUAA
rnacentral:rRNA from 1 species